UAGGGAAUCUUCGGCAAUGGACGAAAGUCUGACCGAGCAACGCCGCGUGAGUGAAGAAGGUUUUCGGAUCGUAAAACUCUGUUGUUAGAGAAGAACAAGGACGUUAGUAACUGAACGUCCCCUGACGGUAUCUAACCAGAAAGCCACGGCUAACUACGUGCCAGCAGCCGCGGUAUUACGUAGGUGGCAUGCGUUGUCCGGAUUUAUUGGGCGUAAAGCGAGCGCAGGCGGUUUCUUAAGUCUGAUGUGAAAGCCCCCGGCUCAACCGGGGAGGGUCAUUGGAAACUGGGAGACUUGAGUGCAGAAGAGGAGAGUGGAAUUCCAUGUGUAGCGGUGAAAUGCGUAGAUAUAUGGAGGAACACCAGUGGCGAAGGCGGCUCUCUGGUCUGUAACUGACGCUGAGGCUCGAAAGCGUGGGGAGCAAACAGG
rnacentral:rRNA from 1 species